UACGUAGGUGGCAAGCGUUGUCCGGAAUUAUUGGGCGUAAAGGGCGCGCAGGCGGUUCGGUAAGUCUGUCUUAAAAGUGCGGGGCUUAACCCCGUGAGGGGACGGAAACUGUCGAACUUGAGUGUCGGAGAGGAAAGCGGAAUUCCUAGUGUAGCGGUGAAAUGCGUAGAUAUUAGGAGGAACACCGGUGGCGAAAGCGGCUUUCUGGACGACAACUGACGCUGAGGCGCGAAAGCGUGGGGAGCAAACA
rnacentral:rRNA from 2 species